rnacentral:rRNA from 1 species
GACGAACGCUGGCGGCGUGCUUAACACAUGCAAGUCGAACGGAAAGGCCCCUUUGGGGGUACUCGAGUGGCGAACGGGUGAGUAACACGUGAGUAACCUGCCCUUGACUUCGGGAUAACUUCAGGAAACUGGGGCUAAUACCGGAUAGGAAUCCUUGCUGCAUGGUGGGGGUUGGAAAGCUUCGGCGGUUUUGGAUGGACUCGCGGCUUAUCAGCUUGUUGGUGGGGUAGUGGCUUACCAAGGCUUUGACGGGUAGCCGGCCUGGGAGGGCGAACGGCCACAUUGGGACCGAGAUACGGCCCAAGACCCUACGGGGGGCAGCAGUGGGGAAUAUUGCCCAAUGGGCGGAAGCCUGAUGCAGCAACGCCGCGGGCGGGAUGAAGGGCUUCGGGUUGUAAACCGCUUUCAGCAGGGGCGAAGCUUGUGGUGACGGUACCUGCAGAAGAAGCACCGGCUAACUACGUG